AUUGAACGCUGGCGGCAUGCCUAACACAUGCAAGUCGAGCGAGCGGCGGAAGGGUGAGUAAUGUCUGGGAAAACGCCUGAUGGAGGGGGAUAACUACUGGAAACGGUAGCUAAUACCGCAUACCAUCAGAUGUGCCCAGAUGGGGUUAGCUAGUAGGUGGGGUAAAGGCUCACCUAGGCGACGAUCCCUAGCUGGUCUGCGAGGAUGACCAGCCACACUGGGACUGAGACACGGUCCAGACUCCUACGGGAGGCAGCAGUGGGGAAUAUUGGACAAUGGGCGCAAGCCUGAUGCAGCCAUGCCGCGUGUGUGAAGAAGGCCUUCGGGUUGUAAAGCACUUUCAGCAGGGAGGCGUUACCCGCAGAAGAAGCACCGGCUAACUCCGUGCCAGCCGCCGCGGUAAUAC
rnacentral:rRNA from 1 species